GAUACUGCGCCGGUCUGAACGGGUUAUAUUGAUGUUAUAAAUCAUAAGAUUUUUAUCUUCUGUAUCU
rnacentral:tRNA from 1 species